AGAUGUCCUCUAAGGAUAAAGGUUUUUUCGUUAAAUUUAUUAGAGUUUCCCUUAAGAACUGGAAUUCUGGUUGCAUGAUUCCUGCAGAUGGUAAUAUUGCUACUGCUGUGAUUUGAAACAUGGAGGUUGUAGCUGAGGAUGGCCUUCACCUUUUGAUCUUGCCACACCUCUAGUGCUAUAUGUGCAGACAUGUGCUCCUUUAUGGACUGCUGGAGUUAGAACACUGCUCAUGCUAGCAAGCUCUCUGCCAGCCAAACUACUUCCCCUGCCCCUUCUAAGUUCUAAUUUUUUAAAAUAAAACUUGUUCCUGAGUGACCAGC